rnacentral:rRNA from 1 species
AUUGAACGCUGGCGGCCGGCCUAACACAUGCAAGUCGAGCGGAGCGGCGGACGGGUGAGUAAUGCCUAGGAAUCUGCCUGGUAGUGGGGGAUAACGUCCGGAAACGGGCGCUAAUACCGCAUACUAUCAGAUGAGCCUAGGUGGGAUUAGCUAGUUGGUGGGGUAAAGGCCGACCAAGGCGACGAUCCGUCACUGGUCUGAGAGGAUGAUCAGUCACACUGGAACUGAGCCACGGUCCAGAAUCCUGCGGGAGGCCGCAUUGGGGAAGAUUGGACAAGGGGGGAAAGCCUGAUCCAGCCUUGCCGGGUGUGUGAAGAAGGUCUUCGGAUUGUAAAGCACUUUAAGUUGGGAGGCGUUACCAACAGAAUAAGCACCGGCUAACUUCGUGCCAGCAGCCGCGGUAAUUC